rnacentral:ncRNA from 12 species
GCGCAGUGGGUCUGUGGUUGAAAGUCGAUGCCAGUCGCAGGCGAAGCGAUCCACGUAAGCGGGAAAUAUUUCCGUGAUCAUAGUGCGGCCUAGAUGUAAGUCCAACCGGAGCGAUCCGAGAGGGGUAGUAGUGGGGAGCGAAAUCAGCUUAUGAGCGAACCUUCCAGUUGGCGGGUGUGGGGUUAAAAACCAGGUCAGACACUGCGG